rnacentral:misc_RNA from 1 species
GAUGAAGAACGCAGCGAAAUGCGAUAAGUAAUGUGAAUUGCAGAAUUCCGUGAAUCAUCGAAUCUUUGAACGCAUAUUGCGCCCUCUGGUAUUCCGGAGGGCAUGCCUGUCCGAGCGUCAUUUGUACCCUCAAGCUUUGCUUGGUGUUGGGCGUCUUGUCUCUAGCUUUGCUGGAGACUCGCCUUAAAGUAAUUGGCAGCCGGCCUACUGGUUUCGGAGCGCAGCACAAGUCGCACUCUCUAUCAGCAAAGGUCUAGCAUCCAUUAAGCCUUUUUUUCAACUUUUGACCUCGGAUCAGGUAGGGAUACCCGCUGAACUUAAGCAUAUCAAUAAGCGGAGGA